rnacentral:rRNA from 1 species
GACGAACGCUGGCGGCGUGCUUAAUACAUGCAAGUCAACUGAACUUGAAGUAGCAAUAUUUCAAGGGAGGUGGCGCACGGGUGAGUAACACGUAGGUAAUCUGCCUUUAGGUCUGACAUAAUUCCGCGAAAGCGGGACUAACUUCAGAUGAUGCAGCGGCUCGACAUCGAGACAGUUGUUAAAUCUUCGGAGCCUAAAGAUGAGCCUGCGUCUGAUUAGGUAGUUGGCGGAGUAAAAGCCCACCAAGCCUGCGAUCAGUAGCUGGUCUGAGAGGAUGAUCAGCCACACUGGAACUGAGACACGGUCCAGACUCCUACGGGAGGCAGCAGUAAGGAAUAUUGCUCAAUGGCCGAAAGGCUGAAGCAGCAACGCCGCGUGGAGGAUGAAAUACUUUUGUAUGUAAACUCCUGUAAGAAGGGAAAAUAUUCCGAUUUAUCGGGAUUGAUUGUACCUUCAGAGUAA